UACGGACGGGGCGAGCGUUGUUCGGAAUUAUUGGGCGUAAAGGGCGUGUAGGCGGCUUCGCAGGUCUGUGGUGAAAGGAUACAGCUCAACUGUAUUGAGCCGCGGAAACGGCGGAGCUUGAGGCUGGGAGGGGCUGGUGGAAUUCCCUGUGUAGCGGUGAAAUGCGUAGAGAUGGGGGAGAACACUCGUGGCGAAGGCGGCCAGCUAGACCAGUUCUGACGCUGAGACGCGAAAGCGUGGGGAGCAAACAGG
rnacentral:rRNA from 1 species